AUUGAACGCUGGCGGCAGGCCUAACACAUGCAAGUCGAGCGCGAAAGGGUUUCGGCCUGAGUAGAGCGGCGAACGGGUGAGUAACGCGUGGGAAUCUGCCUGGUAAUGGGGGACAACAUCUCGAAAGGGAUGCUAAUACCGCAUACGCCCUAAGGGGGAAAGUGGGGGAUCUUCGGACCUCACGUUAUCAGAUGAGCCCGCGUCGGAUUAGCUAGUAGGUAGGGUAAAGGCCUACCUAGGCGACGAUCCGUAACUGGUCUGAGAGGAUGAUCAGUCACACUGGAACUGAGACACGGUCCAGACUCCUACGGGAGGCAGCAGUGGGGAAUAUUGGACAAUGGGGGCAACCCUGAUCCAGCCAUGCCGCGUGAGUGAAGAAGGCCUUCGGGUUGUAAAGCUCUUUCGUCCGGGAAGAAAUCGCAUUGGUUAAUACCUGAUGUGGAUGACGGUACCGGAAUAAGAAGCACCGGCUAACUACGUGCCAGCCGCCGCAGUAAAAC
rnacentral:rRNA from 1 species